AGUCAGACAGUCAGCUAUUUCCACACAGAGGUAGAGAAGAGCAGGUUUGAUUUAGAUCCUCCCUGUUCCACUCCAGUACCAGCCAUGCUGCCUGUAGUCCUGCUGCUGAUACUGUUGAGGUCUGCAACCUUGGUCAGAGGUCAGAUUGUGCUCACACAGUCUCAGCAGCCAGUGAUGGUGACUCCAGGAGGAACUCUCAAACUGACUUGUGCCUGCAGUGGACUUGACGUGGGGAGAACUAGCAUGUACUGGGUCCGCCAAGCUCCAGGGAAAGGACUGGAAUGGAUUAUUUACUACUAUUCUGAGAGUAGCAAGAGCACAGCCCAGACAGUCCAAGGCAGAUUCACUGCAUCCAAGGACAGCUCUAAUCUCUACCUGCAUAUGACCCAGUUGAAGUCUGAGGACACUGCAGUCUAUUACUGUGCUAGAGAGGGUGACGGUGGAUUCGAUUACUGGGGGAAAGGCACAGCAGUUACGGUUUCAACUGGCACAUCAGUGACCGUCUCAGCAGGAGGCUCAUCGGUACCGACGUCCCUCUUUGGACUUUCUCAGUGUGGCUCUGACUCCAAUGGACUGGUCACUCUUGGUUGCAUGACGGGGGGAUUCUCGCCAGCAAACUCCCUGAAGUAUAAGUGGAAAGAUGCACAAGGCAAAGACCUCUCUGACUUCAUACAGUACCCAGACGUCCCUAAAGAUGGCAAAUAUUCCAAAAUCAGCCAGAUUAGUGUCCCGCUGGCAGACUGGGAAGCACGGAAAUCGUUCACUUGUGAAUUGGAUUAUCCUAACAGCGACAAGAAGCAGGUUCUAAUUAAAUCAGUCCACUUCUCAGUAGAGCUAACUCCCCCAUCAUCAAGAGAUAUUUUCCUCAACAAUAAAGCAGUUCUGGAGUGCGUCACCAUGGGAACAGACUCAGCAGCUGUGAAAGAUGCUAAAGUAACAUGGAAGGUGGGAGGAGGAGAUCAGAGUAGCAGAGCUGAACAAGGCACCCUUAAAGCCCUCGAUAAUGGUCAGUUUAGUAAGGUCAGCAAACUGGAGGUGGACGUGUCUGACUGGUUCUCUGGAAAAGAGGUUGAGUGCCUCGUGUAUGACAAGACUGAGGGCAAAAACAUUGUGGGAAAGAAGAAAAUAAAGCAAGGUGGAGCAACUCCUGAAGUGUUUAUCUACACCCUCCCUGAAGCCAAAGACCCAAACCAUGUUUCUCUGGUGUGUGAGGUCAGGGGCUCUUCUCUUGGUGAUGUGUAUAUCAUGUGGCAGGUUGGUGAAGGAAAGUACCAGGAGGGAAAGACGGCCCUCCUGAAACAAGAUGAUGGCAACACGUCACUUGUCAGUAUACUGAUCGACAAAUCACUGAAGAAAUCAGAAGCAUCACAGUUCACCUGUGCGGUCAAACAUGGCGGAAUGAAAAACUACUCUGCCCCGCUACGAGUCACUUACUCAAAACGUGAGCCUGAGGUACCAGAUGAAGUGGUGGCCUUGCACUGCACUCAGAGUGAGGAUGAGGAGGGGGACGAGUACACCAGCCUGUGGUCCACUGCCACCUCCUUCGUAUUCCUCUUCCUCUUCUCUCUCGUCUACAGUGCCGUCCUCAGCCUUGCCAAGAUGAAACACUGACGACAACACAGAAGA